rnacentral:rRNA from 1 species
GAUGAACGCUAGCUACAGGCUUAACACAUGCAAGUCGAGGGACCGGCGCACGGGUGAGUAACACGUAUCCAACCUGCCCUUUACUCGGGGAUAGCCAUUCGAAAGAAAGAUUAAUACCAGGUAUAAAGGACGGGGAUUCAUUCCAUUUGGUUGUUUGUGAGGUAACGGCCCACCAAGCCUUCGAUGGAUAGGGGUUCUGAUAGUAAGGUCCCCCACAUUGGAGCUGAGGCGCGGUCCAAACUCCUACGGGAGGCAGCAGUGAGGAAUAUUUGUCACUGGGCGUUAGCCUGAACCAGCCAAGUAGCGUGAAGGAUGAAGGCUUAUGGGUCGUAAACUUCUUUUAUAUAAGAAUAUGUAUUAUAUGAAUAAGGAUCGGCUAACUCCGUGCCAGCAGCCGCGGUAAUUC